CAGCAGCCACGGUAACACGUAGGGUGCAAGCGUUAAUCGGAAUUACUGGGCGUAAAGCGUGCGCAGGCGGUUUGUUAAGACAGAUGUGAAAUCCCCGGGCUCAACCUGGGAACUGCAUUUGUGACUGGCAAGCUAGAGUGUGGCAGAGGGGGGUGGAAUUCCGCGUGUAGCAGUGAAAUGCGUAGAUAUGCGGAGGAACACCGAUGGCGAAGGCAGCCCCCUGGGCCAACACUGACGCUCAUGCACGAAAGCGUGGGGAGCAAACAGGAUUAGAUACCCCCGUAGUCCCUGUCUCUUAUAC
rnacentral:rRNA from 1 species